rnacentral:rRNA from 1 species
UGCGCAGGCGGUCUUGCAAGACAGAUGUGAAAUCCCCGGGCUCAACCUGGGAACUGCAUUUGUGACUGCAAGGCUAGAGUACGGCAGAGGGGGAUGGAAUUCCGCGUGUAGCAGUGAAAUGCGUAGAUAUGCGGAGGAACACCGAUGGCGAAGGCAAUCCCCUGGGCCUGUACUGACGCUCAUGCACGAAAGCGUGGGGAGCAAACAGGAUUAGAUACCCUGGUAGUCCACGCCCUAAACGAUGUCAACUGGUUGUUGGGAAGGUUCCUUCUCAGUAACGUAGCUAACGCGUGAAGUUGACCGCCUGGGGAGUACGGCCGCAAGGUUGAA